AGCGAACGCUGGCGGCAGGCCUAACACAUGCAAGUCGAACGGAUCCUUCGGGAUUAGUGGCGGACGGGGGAGUAACACGUGGGAACGUGCCCUUUGGUUCGGAACAACUCAGGGAAACUUGAGCUAAUACGGGAUGUGCCCUUCGGGGGAAAGAUUUAUCGCAGUUGGAGCGGCCCGCGUCUGAUUAGAUAGUUGGUGAGGUAAAGGCUCACCAAGGCGACGAUCAGUAGCUGGUCUGAGAGGAUGAUCAGCCACAUUGGGACUGAGACACGGUCCAAACUCCUACGGGAGGCAGCAGUGGGGAAUCUUGCGCAAUGGGCGAAAGCCUGACGCAGCCAUGCCGCGUGAAUGAUGAAGGUCUUAGGAUUGUAAAAUUCUUUCACCGGGGACGAUAAUGACGGUACCCGGAGAAGAAGCCCCGGCUAACUUCGUGCCAGCCGCCGCGGUAACAC
rnacentral:rRNA from 1 species